rnacentral:ncRNA from 1 species
AAGGAGGUUACUGAAAAUCCUUGAAUAAUAGAGUAGGAA